rnacentral:rRNA from 1 species
GAUGAACGCUGGCGGCGUGCCUAAUACAUGCAAGUCGAACGCGCAGCGAGAGGUGCUUGCACCUUUCAAGCGAGUGGCGAACGGGUGAGUAACACGUGGAUAACCUGCCUCAAGGCUGGGGAUAACAUUUGGAAACAGAUGCUAAUACCGAAUAAAACUUAGUAUCGCAUGAUAUCAAGUUAAAAGGCGCUACGGCGUCACCUAGAGAUGGAUCCGCGGUGCAUUAGUUAGUUGGUGGGGUAAAGGCUUACCAAGACGAUGAUGCAUAGCCGGGUUGAGAGACUGAUCGGCCACAUUGGGACUGGGAAACGGCCCAAACUCCUACGGGAGGCUGCAGUAGGGAAUCUUCCACAAUGGGCGCAAGCCUGAUGGAGCAACGCCGCGUGUGUGAUGAAGGCUUUCGGGUCGUAAAGCACUGUUGUAUGGGAAGAAAUGCUAAAAUAGGGAAUGAUUUUAGUUUGACGGUACCAUACCAGAAAGGGACGGCUAAAUACGUGCCAGCCGCCGCAGUAA